rfam:Eimeria brunetti, Houghton, WGS project CBTX01000000 data, contig: Ebh_contig142_2
AACCUGGUUGAUCCUGCCAGGAGUCAUAUGCUUGUCUCAAAGGUUAAGCCAUGCAUCUCUAAGUAUAAACAUUUACACGGUGAAACUGCGAAUGUCUCAUUAAAACAGUUUUAGUUUAUUUGAUGGUCAUUUUUACAUGGAUAACUAUGCUAAUUCUAUGGCUAAUACAUGCGCAUAGGCUUCCUUCAUUGAAGGGGCUGUGUUUGUUAGAUACAAAACCAACCCAGCUUGGUGAUUCAUAGUAACCGAACGGAUCGCCGUUGGUUUUCGGGCCCGCGCUGGAGCAUUCAAGUUUCUGACCUUUCAGCAACGGUAGGGUAUUGGCCUACCGUGACAGUGACGGGUAACGGGGAAUUAGGGUUCGAUCCCGGAGAGGGAGCCUGAGAAACGGCUACCACAUAUAAGGAAGGCAGCAGGCGCGCAAAUUACCGAAUGAAAACAGUUUCGAGGUAGUGAUGAGAAAUAACAAUACAGGGCAUUUAAUGCUUUGUAGUUGGAAUGAUGGGAAUGUAAAACCCUUCCAGAGUAACAAUUGGAUGGCAAGUCUGGUGCCAGCAGCCGCGGUAGUUCCAGCUCCAAUAGUGUAGAUUAGAGUUGUUGCAGUUAAAAUGCUCGUAGUUGGAUUUCUGUCGUGGUCAGCCUGCGCUGCCUGUAUGGGUGUGCGCGUUGUUCGCUCGCGGUUUCCUUCCGGUAGCCUCCGGCUCUUCAUUGCGUUGGUAGGUGUUCUGGGACUUUUACUUUGAGAAAAAUAGGGUUUUUCAAGCAGGCUUGUUGCCCUGAAUACUGCAGCAUGGAAUAAUAAGAUAGGACCUCGGUUAUAUUGUUGGUUUCUAGGACCAAGGUAAUGAUUAAUAGGUGCAGUUGGGGGCAUUCGUAUUUAGCUGACAAAUGUGAAAUUCUUGGUUUUGCUAGAGACGAACUACUGCGAAAGCAUUUGCCAAAAAUGUUUUCAUUAAUUAAGAACGACAGUAGCGCGUUUGAAGACGAUUAGAUACCGUCGUAACCUCUACCAUAAACUAUGCCGACUAGAGAUAGGGAAAUGCCUACCUUGGCUUCUCCUGCCUCUCAUGACAAAUCAAAGUCUCUGGGUUCUGGGGGCCGUAUGGGCGAAAGGCUGAAACUUAGAGGAAUCGACGGUGGGGCACCACCAGGAGUGGAGCCUGCGGAUCAAUUUGACUCAACACGGGGAAACUCACCAGGUCCAGGCAUGGGAAGGAUAGACAGAUUGAUAGCUCCUUCUUGAUUCUACGGGUGGUGGUGCAUGGCCGUUCUUAGUUGGUGGGGAGAUCUGUCUGGUUAAUUUCGAUAACGAACGAGACCUUGGCCUGCUAAACAGGGUCGGUGACCUCGGUCACCGCAUCGCUUCUUAGAGGGACUUUGAGUGUCUAACGCAGGGAAGUCCGAAGCAAUAACAGGUCUGUGAUGCCCUUAGAUGUUCUGGGCCGCACGCGCGCUACACUGAUGCAUGCAACGAGUUCUUACCUUGACCGACGGGGCUGGGUAACCUUGUGAAGGUGCAUCGUGAUGGGGAUAGGUUAUUGCAAUUAUUUACCUUCAAAAAGAAAUGCCUCGUAGGCGCAAUUCAGCAGCUUGCCCCGAAUAAGUCCCUGUCUCUUGUACACACCGCCAGUCGCUGCAACCGAUGGAGGGCCCUGUAAAUUCAUCGGGCUGGCAAGCCCCAAAGUGGGGCUGGUGGGAAAGUCGUGUAAAUAGAACCCUCUAAAGGAUGCAAAGGUCAUAAUACAGUUUUCUGUAGGUGAACCUGCGAAAGGAACAUUC